rnacentral:piRNA from 1 species
UGCAUAGUAAGGUCCUGUAGCCGCCUCC